GAUGAACGCUGGCGGCGUGCCUAAUACAUGCAAGUCGAGCGAACGGACGAGAAGCUUGCUUCUCUGAUGUUAGCGGCGGACGGGUGAGUAACACGUGGAUAACCUACCUAUAAGACUGGGAUAACUUCGGGAAACCGUAGCUAAUACCGGAUAAUAUUUUGAACCGCAUGGUUCAAAAGUGAAAGACGGUCUUGCUGUCACUUAUAGAUGGAUCCGCGCUGCAUUAGCUAGUUGGUAAGGUAACGGCUUACCAAGGCAACGAUGCAUAGCCGACCUGAGAGGGUGAUCGGCCACACUGGAACUGAGACACGGUCCAGACUCCUACGGGAGGCGGCAGUAGGGAAUCUUCCGCAAUGGGCGAAAGCCUGACGGAGCAACGCCGCGUGAGUGAUGAAGGUCUUCGGAUCGUAAAACUCUGUUAUUAGGGAAGAACAUAUGUGUAAGUAACUGUGCACAUCUUGACGGUACCUAAUCAGAAAGACACGGCUAACUACGUG
rnacentral:rRNA from 1 species